GUAUAGUGGAGGCACAACACAUCAUGAAGAAGGUGCACGAGCACGUCAAGACGAUGAAUGUCGUGAUCCUCAGGCUAUGGUCCAUUAUUCUAGCCCGGUCACCAAAGGAAAUUCACCUGUGCGGCGGCGGCGGGGAAGGAGCAGCACCGGCAGCCCUGACAGAGGAAGCCAUGUUGCCGUUUUGUUUGUUCCCAGCCUUGACUAUGGUUGUCCAGCGAGUCCGGCAUGUCGUCAUUUUCUUGUAAAGCAGUAUUGUAUCACACUUAUAGAGCUCGUUACACAUGUAGAUCUUGUAAAGUACUGUAUUACACAUGGUCAUAUGUAUUGGCAACGUGAUCUGGUUGCUCUUAUUUGAAGUA